rnacentral:lncRNA from 1 species
AGAGAGAGAAAGAUGGACAUCAAGGAAGAAAGAAAAAAAAGGAAGGAAGAAAAAAGAAAUGAGAAAUGAGAGAAAUUACAUAGCAUAGUUAUCAUGAUUAUAAGUAAUCAGACAUUGAAAUCAACGGUGAGAUGAGAUUCGAUCAGAUGAAGUUUUAGUAUGAUGUUUGUGAAUGAUAGAUCAAUCUAUCUAUUGGUGUUGAUUUGAGGUAAAUAUGAGUAUACAAUAUGCUUUCUAAACUUUGUAGGCUUUUCUAAAAUAUCUGAUUUUGUAUUCUUUUUGAG